CAGUCGCCACGGUAAUACGUAGGUCCCGAGCGUUGUCCGGGUUUAUUGGGCGUAAAGCGAGCGCAGGCGGUUAGAAAAGUCUGAAGUGAAAGGCAGUGGCUCAACCAUUGUAGGCUUUGGAAACUGUUUAACUUGAGUGCAGAAGGGGAGAGUGGAAUUCCAUGUGUAGCGGUGAAAUGCGUAGAUAUAUGGAGGAACACCGGUGGCGAAAGCGGCUCUCUGGUCUGUAACUGACGCUGAGGCUCGAAAGCGUGGGGAGCGAACAGGAUUAGAUACCCGCGUAGUCCCUGUCUCUUAUACA
rnacentral:rRNA from 1 species